rnacentral:rRNA from 1 species
UACGUAGGGGGCGAGCGUUGUCCGGAUUCAUUGGGCGUAAAGAGCUCGUAGGCGGCUUGGCAAGUCGGGUGUGAAAACUCCAGGCUCAACCUGGAGAUGCCACCCGAUACUGCUAUGGCUUGAGUUCGGUAGGGGACCACGGAAUUCCUGGUGUAGCGGUGAAAUGCGCAGAUAUCAGGAGGAACACCGGUGGCGAAGGCGGCGCUCUGGACCGAGACUGACGCUGAGGCGCGAAAGCGUGAGGAGCAAACAGG